GCCGAAAUAGCGCAACUGGUAGAGCAACUGACUUGUAAUCAGUAGGUUGAGGGUUCGAUUCCUUUUUUCGGCACCA
rnacentral:tRNA from 1 species